rnacentral:lncRNA from 1 species
CUUGCAACAUGGAGGAUAGAUUGCAAGUGGAGCCAAGAACAAAAUACAGCUGACUCUGAACAAAUCCUUUUCGUGACUUCUGGAUAAAGGACAACUCAAGCCCCUCGUUCCAGUGGCAGUGGAUUGAUGUGCAGCUUCCUAUGUGAAGGCAGAGCACACGUCUGUCUCUGGAGCUUCCUAGAAUUUCUAACUUGGAAUCACUAAGGACAAAAACUCCUAUAUUCCUGAAGCCCUACAAGCUGGAACUGGACAACUCGAUGUAAAUUUCAGGAGACAACCCCCAUGCCUGAUGUGUGGGCCACUAAGGGAGUUUACCAAAACAUCCAAUGCCAUAACCAGAGACAUUCAAACUAAACCAAGAAAAUGUUUCAAGCUCAAAUCCAGAAAUCUUGUCAACUAACUGCCCUCUGAACUCAGAGACUGAGUUUAUAAUUUGUCCUAAGCCAUUAACCUUUGUUAAUAGCUUUUUUUUGUUUUGUUUAUUUUUUCUGGUUUGGUUCAUGAGGGCAUUUGUUAAGAAGCAUACUCUAAUCCCUUGGUAUAUCCUCCUGAUAGUUCCCAUUGUAAUCUCCCAGCUGCAUUCUCUCAAGGGUUUUGAAGGUGUAUUUGCAGCGAUUAGUGGUAUACUAGGUGGCCUCACUGUGAUUACUGCAACAACUGCAAGAUGACCAAAGGAAUGUGUCUUCCACAAGGCUGACAUUGUGACUUAUGAGUUUCAUGCUAAGACAAAGACAACCCUGCCAUGAUGAUGACUGACAGUAGUGCUGAUGCCAUAAAUUUUUAUCAAAUCCCUCAGUACAGGUUGAGUCUGAUCAAAAGGGGAAAGCUGUUCAGUAAAAUAUGUGGGAGGUCAUUGUUUUGGAUUAAGCUCCUGCACUAGGCCCCAACAGACCAGAUCAAACCAGAAUGGAGUCACUCAUGCCAGAUGCCACAUUGUCAAACUGAAUGUAAAAAUAGGUCACUUGUUCAAAAAAAAAAGGAGAUUCACAGUAACCAAUUGAAAGGGGCCCAGUCAACCUAAGCUCACAUGAUAAGGAAGUCUCCUCUAGUUUAACGUAUGCAAGGAAAGUAGCUUUGAAAUCACCAGUCCACUUUUUGUUUCUUCUUUCUGCUUUCUUCAGUCUUUUCCAUUAUAAAGCCCACACAUCUGCUCAGCUCAGUAGGGCACCUUUCUAUUUCAUAGAUGGAAUGUCACUUGAUUCAUGAAUCAUUA